rnacentral:rRNA from 1 species
GAGGGUUUGAUCCUGGCUCAGAUUGAACGCUGGCGGCAGGCCUAACACAUGCAAGUCGAGCGGAUGAAGGGAGCUUGCUCCUGGAUUCAGCGGCGGACGGGUGAGUAAUGCCUAGGAAUCUGCCUGGUAGUGGGGGAUAACGUCCGGAAACGGGCGCUAAUACCGCAUACGUCCUGAGGGAGAAAGUGGGGGAUCUUCGGACCUCACGCUAUCAGAUGAGCCUAGGUCGGAUUAGCUAGUUGGUGGGGUAAAGGCCUACCAAGGCGACGAUCCGUAACUGGUCUGAGAGGAUGAUCAGUCACACUGGAACUGAGACACGGUCCAGACUCCUACGGGAGGCAGCAGUGGGGAAUAUUGGACAAUGGGCGAAAGCCUGAUCCAGCCAUGCCGCGUGUGUGAAGAAGGUCUUCGGAUUGUAAAGCACUUUAAGUUGGGAGGAAGGGCAGUAAGUUAAUACCUUGCUGUUUUGACGUUACCAACAGAAUAAGCACCGGCUAACUUCGUGCCAGCAGCCGCGGUAAUACGAAGGGUGCAAGCGUUAAUCGGAAUUACUGGGCGUAAAGCGCGCGUAGGUGGUUCAGCAAGUUGGAUGUGAAAUCCCCGGGCUCAACCUGGGAACUGCAUCCAAAACUACUGAGCUAGAGUACGGUAGAGGGUGGUGGAAUUUCCUGUGUAGCGGUGAAAUGCGUAGAUAUAGGAAGGAACACCAGUGGCGAAGGCGACCACCUGGACUGAUACUGACACUGAGGUGCGAAAGCGUGGGGAGCAAACAGGAUUAGAUACCCUGGUAGUCCACGCCGUAAACGAUGUCGACUAGCCGUUGGGAUCCUUGAGAUCUUAGUGGCGCAUCUAACGCGAUAAGUCGACCGCCUGGGGAGUACGGCCGCAAGGUUAAAACUCAAAGGAAUUGACGGG